AAUGUGCUUACAAGCUUUCUUUGCUGAAGUAUUCUUCUUUGGUGAAACAAGUUGAUUCCAAAGCUGACCAUAUUAUUAUGUAUAUUAUAGAGCUAUGAAGGAAUACUGCUAUCAGCUAUCAGAUAUAUAUAAACCAGGUGUUUCCUGUCAAGAGUCUCAAGCCAGCGUUGAUCAAAGUUUUUGAUUACUACCAAACAGGUAACGAGUCUGAGACGGAGUACACAUCCCCCUGUGUGUAAGCUGAUAGUUUGCUGGUUAUUUGUCAGGCCUAAGAAAAAAAUAUGGACUUCACAUACAUAUUGUAUUGCUGCUACAAUUCAAGUUUUAAUGUUUUUUGUUUGUUUGUUUGUUUUGUUUUUUGCAAUAUAUAUCUCAUGAGCAUAAAGGCUUUAACCUAAUCAGCUCUAAUGAGCCCAGCACAGUAGAAUCAGAACUUGUCAUGUCAGGUGAUUGCACAGGGUUACAUACCCCCUAGAUUUGAUGCAUAUUGUAUAUGCUGAAUUAUUUCAGCCUGCUUUUGGUGGAGGGUCUAUCCAGGCUGAUAAUUUCUUAUA